UGGCGCUCCACAGUUGCAAGGGCCUCCAAAGGGCGGUGCGGAUGGAUUGGUGGUUGAUAGUAAGAACAAUAACAUCACCGCUAGCGCACACUCACGUCAACGCAGUGCAUCGCCGGUACAGUCAUUGCCCUUCAAGACAUGUGAGCAUACCGAUACAGCGAGUGCAUUGAGCAAAGCCCCAUCUGCUCUAUCAAGGGACAAUGCACCUGCACGUGGAGAAGGCGAUGACGGUGCCAUGAGCCGUCCAGAAAAUCGCAGGAGUCCGAGCAGUAUGCGGCACAAGAGGUCUCUGAGUGGCUGGCCGCAAUCCCCUCGUGACGAUGCUGUUUCAGCGACUCCGUCCCGUGUGCCGUCGCAGUCGCAGAUGGUCUCGAAUCACCAGAUGCUGCUGUCCUUUUUCUCCGGUGAGUUACUGGAGGAUACACCGCAGUCAACGUUCGGGGACUGCCCCGCCACUGGCGAACCGACGCCGCCCCGCAGUGGGUCACCGGUGUCCGCGCUGUGGCGCCGAGUCAACAGUUCCAGGGCUCUGCACCCUGCUUCCAGCGCGCGCCGCCUGCUGAAAUCGUCCCCGCAGAGGCACAGCAACGACUUCAAUGUCUUGGAGCGUGGGGACGGCAGCGUCUCGGCCGACUUCUCUCAGGCGUCCGGGUACAACUUUUCGCCCUUGGGUACUUAUCUGCCGCCGCCGUCGACGGAUUCGCAGCAGCGGCCGCAACCUCCCCGUCCUGCAAGCAUCGGUCCCGAGUACGCCGUUUUCCGACCUUUGGUGCGCUUUAUCUCCAACGAUAUGGCCAGCCAUCACACAACGCUGGAGGAGGACCAAAGUUUUGGCGCAGGUGAGAGUGUUGAGCUCAACGACGGCAGGCAGAGUGGGCAUCAAAAAGCUGCAGACGCAUCCAGUCCAGCCUCACCCCACACCAUUUCCAUCGCAGAGUCGGCUAUCACGCUGGCAGCGCGCAGAAAUGCCGCUACCGAUGCUGAGAGAACACCGCAGCCCCAGCCGGAAGUCCGCCUUCGCCUCCCUGUCGCCAAGGAAGGGGUGGCGUUGUUGAACCAUAUACACAAUGUGCCGCCGCAGGGGGAGUUGUACCGGCUGCUCCGAGUGUACCGCCGCGAGUGGCUGCAUCCGUUUCCUCAAGCUCUGCGUGAUCCUCCACUUGCUGUGAGGCUAGCGGAUGGCGCCGAGGCCAGUGAGACCAUUGACGAAGACGAGUGUGCGAGUGACUGGGAGGACUACAUUAACGGCGCCACGAGCGGGGCCGGCCGCGGCCGCCGCAGUGACAGCACUUGGGGCACAGCAAACGCUGCAACGCACCGUUCUUAUGCGCGUCGACGUGGCGGCCGCGGCGGUCUUUAUCGCUAUCGCACCCCUUUCGCAGCCACUGCCGCUGUCGAUGUGCCGACAGUAGAAGUUAAUGCAAGCCAUCCCCACGAACUGUACAGUCGCCUUGUGAGUGACCCUGUCGACUGUGCUGUGGAGGUCGUUCACCCUGGCGCGGCGACCGCAUCUGCAGCGUCUUUUAUGCGAUCCUUGAGUGUUCCUUGCAGCGCGCGACAAGCUGGAGGCCGCGGUGGUGUCCAUGUGGAUCGGUCCUCGGGCGCCGCCGUGCUUGGUGUCUCUCGAGGUAGUCGCCUCAGCGGUGGCGGUCGCUCAGCCUGUGAGGUGAGUUCGAGUCGAAGCAGCAGUCAGGGCAACCCUACUCACGGGGACGGCGCCAUGCCUGUGCCUUCGCGUAGUGGCGCUGAGGUGGUGGCGAACGGCUUCUACAGCGCCGAGGCUCGCGCGAGCAAAGCGCAACAGGACGAGCUGCAGCGCCGAAGAGCCGUCGCCGAGUACGGAGAAGCGUCGUACUACAGCCUGGAAGCCCCCACGGACGGCGCCGCACAGAUGAAUGGCUUGUAAAGCCCCCUCUAGCGUUCACGUGCUAGGCGUCGCGAAGGCGGCAAGUCUCAGCGACAUCCUGCACGAGGAAGAGCAACAUAUGCAGGGGCUCAUGCAGCUCCCACAGCUGAACCGUGCGCAGUGCGCGGCGGGGGCCAGCGAGCCCGUGCGGCGCCGUAUCUCUGCGUUGACGAUGGUCUCACCUGUCGGCACCAGCACCGCUACAAGGCUGGAUGCAGCAUAGGUGUUGUUAGCUGCGGAAGCGCCAGCGGGUAAAGCUGCCUUGAGACUGUGAGGUGGAUGAUCUUGUGACCGGCGCAGCAAGUGUGGCUCCCGGAACUCCUGGUGCGACGGACCUCUGUCGACGAUGCACCCUGGGAGCAGGGCCUGCGCGGCGGCAAGCCACGAAGCCCCGUAGCACCUGUGGCAAAUCAAAAGCGCCGGCUGCGCGAUCACCGGUCAACUCCACGGGCUGUUCCGAGAGGCCAGGAGCCGGAGCAGACGGCGAACACCAGAGAGAGCGGUCGUGUUCACCAUAUCCCUCUAACAGCGAGACCAACUCUCCUGCAAGCACAACGGCUUCGGUUACACCGACCACGAGAACCAGUGGUGCAUCAAGCUCAGGGCAGCAUCCCAGAAGCUCAAACGAGCCAGCCGCUUUAUCUGCUGGCGGCCUGGCGCACGCGCACGAUUCAUGGGGCAGCCAAAACGUCUUUGUUGCCGAUGACUUUACCCCAAUGUCGCGUGCGCCUAUCUGAGAGAGUCACACACACACACACACACACACACACAUAUACAGCGAGAAAAAGAGAGGAGAGGAUGAUGCCGCCAACACCAGAUAUGCUGUUCAUAUGAGCCUGGGGCUCUUGUUGAUGGGCUCAGCGACUGCAUCUUUUUUUUUUUCAUUCUCCCCUGGUGGUUGCCAGCCUUUUUGUCCUUUGUUGAAGUACGACUCUCAGCCUUUCAACGCUAAUGCUAGUCUGCCACACCCGUUUGCCAUGCUCAGGCUUUGAAAGGCAGCCGGUGUAUUUCUCUUUCUCGUCAUUCUGCUCUUCUGCUUGCCUCGGCUGCUUGGCUGCGUUGGCGUGUGUUGUUCGAUGCAAGCACACACACACGUGUGCCCCCUACAUCUUUUUUUCCCCUGCUCGUCCGCAUGCACUGCGCUUUUCGAUGCUGUCGCGCUGUCUCUUCGACUCCUGUGUCCUUUGCUUGUCUGUUUCCGUCCCCUCUGUUGUCCCUCCCAGCGCUUCCCUUGUUGUCCGUGUCUGUGGUUCGCGUGCGGGCAUGUGUACAUGGUGGUGCCACGUAGUUCUCGCUUUCCUUCCAUCCCUUGCUCCCUUUUGUCCCGUAAGAUUCUUACUUUGCCUCCAUGGAGGAGCACAACGCAGCGAAGGAAAGAGGUGAUGUUACCUCUUCCGCGUACUUCAUUGUGUGUGUGCCGAUCGGCACUCAUCUCGGCUCUCUACUCCUUGAUAUUUUGUGUUUGUGUGUGUGUGUGUGUAUGUGCAUCGCUGCACAUGUAUCCGUGCGUGGAUACGUGUCUGCGUGCGUUACUCUCGAGGGAACACCGCUUUCGCCCCUCUCAAUCGGAACUGCUCACGAAUACACCGCGAAGAGUUGCAAAACAAAAAAAAAAACGAUAUAUGGCUCGAACGCACGUGCGUUGGCCUCAUCCGGCGGAUGUGGUGAAACGAGGUCGGCCAUACACAACAGCAAAAGAAGCAGUGAAACUGUCGUCGCAGCAGACGAGUCGUGCGCCUGAAAUCCGCAUUCUUCUAGCGCGUUCCUCUUUUUUGUCUUCUGGUCCUGUAUGCGCUUAGCGCAAGCCCUUCCUCGUUGCUGUUGCUUAUUCUCUCUCCCCCCCCCGCCCCACCCACCCCCGCGGCUACAGCACUCAUCAUCAUCCCUCGUCUGUCUCCGCUGGCGAAUGGACUUCAUCGUAGGUCAAAGGAAUUGCAUGUCAUCGCCAGCAAGGAGCAGCAGCGUCGGGUCUUUGUCUUGCUCCCUCCCCCCUCCCUCUCUCCUCCCCCUCCCCUGAGAGCUCUACACAGACGACACCCGCAUGCGAUGCUGCCACCGUGGGCCGGCGGAGGAAGAUGUCCGCUGGCGCAUUCAAGGCGUGGGAGAGGGGCCGCUUUUCCCCAUCCGUGUAGGCUUUGUUCAUAGUCGUCUUUUGCGAAGGUCGUGAUGUGCUUGAUGCGUGUGCGAGUAGUCGUGAGGGUUUCCGCAUCCGCGCGUGGCGUGGCCCUCCCCCUCCCCCCUUCGCAGACACUACCUUUUUUUGUUUUGUUUUGUUUCUGGGCUGGCUUUCGCGCGAUGCGCUGCUUACUCGGAUAGAGAGCAGCAAGCUGUCACCCGAAAGUUUUGUGCUCCGGCGUGUUUCUUCCCCGCUCUGCCUCAUCCUCCUCCCUCUCAACUUGUCUUUUCGAUCAUAUUUGUUUUGUGUGUGUGUGCGUGUGUAUUACAAUACCAAGACAUGCCUGUGUCUGUGUUAGCAUCGUGUGCCUGCACGUGUCCCUUGCGCAUUUUUUUCAUUAGUAUUAUAACCGAUAUGUGCUUGUAUGUGUUUCCCCUUCCUACUAAUACGACAGCUGCUACUUCUGCAGCCUUCCCCCACCACAGCCCCCUUCCCUCCUCUUCCCUCUUUUCUCUUGUGAUUCGCGUCUAUCCCUGCCCGCGAAGACAGGUGUCACUGUUGUUGCCUUCCUUUGCUGUUUGUCUUCGGCCAACACCACCACCACCCCUCCAUCGUGCCGAUGGCUUUCCUUUCUCUGCUCCCUUCGCCUCCGUGUGCAUGUGUCUGUUCAACUUGAGAGUGGUUGUGUGCCUAGCGUGGCUGCGCACUUCUCAGGCACAUUCACCUCUGCGAGUCGACGCCUACGGGCGGAGGGAGUGAGGCAGAGGAAAGGAGAUGGCGUGGGAGGGAGGUGAGUGUCUUGCCCUUCCGCCUCUCUACCGUCACCUUUUCCCUCCGCCACCCCCUCCCCCUCUGUCUCUGAGUCUUUCCUCAUCCGUUGAAGCAAGUGUGCCCCUUUUUUUUUGCCGCACCGGCGACGAUGGCGAUUCCACCCCGGUGUGUCUCCCUUUUUUGUUGUUUUUUGCCGUCGGUGUUAAUGCUCCUUCUCGACACGACAGAUGCACGUGCGACGGCUCUGCGCAGCCCCUCUGAGCAGCGAGCAGAACGAACACCAACAAACGAAACAGCUGCAUAGAACGCAUGCUUGGGGAGGAGGGAAGGGGGAGGGGAUUCUCUCACUCUCUGUCUCCCCCCUCCUCACCCAUCUCUCUGCUGUGCUCAUCAUGUUGCCUCUGCGGCUUUUUCGUUUAGGCCUGUGACCUGUCUUCGUACCAUGUCAUGG
rnacentral:misc_RNA from 1 species